AUUGAACGCUGGCGGCAGGCCUAACACAUGUAAGUCGAACGAGUGGCGGACGGGUGAGUAACGUCUGGGAAACUGCCUGAUGGAGGGGGAUAACUACUGGAAACGGUAGCUAAUACCGCAUACCAUCAGAUGUGCCCAGAGGGGACUAGCUUGUUGGUGGGGUAACGGCUCACAAGGGCGACGAUCCCUAGCUGGUGUGAGAGGAUGACCAGCCACACUGGAACUGAUGCACGGUCCAGACUCCGACGAGAGGCAGCAGUGGGGAAUAUUGCACAAUGGGCGCAAUCCUGAUGCAGCCAUGCCGCGUGUAUGAAGAAGGCCUUCGGGUUGUAAAGUACUUUCAGCGGGGAUGCGUUACCCGCAGAAGAAGCACCGGCUAACUCCGUGCCAGCAGCCGCGGUAAUAC
rnacentral:rRNA from 1 species